CUCCCUGUGGCUCAGUUGGUAGAGCAUGGUGUUUGCAACACCAGCAUGGUGUGUGCAACGCCAGGGUUGUGGGUUUGAUUCCCAUGGGGGGC
rnacentral:tRNA from 1 species